GAUACGGCGAAGAACCUUACCAGGUCUUGACACUCCCCGCAAUGCUCUGGAGACAGAGCGGAGGUAGUCCGGGGAGACAGGUGGUGCAUGGUUGUUCGUCAGCUCGUGUCGUGAGAUGUUGGGUUAAGUCCCGCAACGAGCGCAACCCUUAUUGCUAGUUACCAUCAUUGAGUUGGGGACUCUAGCGAGACUGCCAGCGAUAAGCUGGAGGAAGGUGGGGAUGACGUCAAAUCAUCAUGCCCCUUAUGACCUGGGCUACAAACGUGAUACAAUGGCUGGAACAAAGGGAGGCGAAGGGGUGACCUGGAGCGAAACCCAAAAAUACAGUCUCAGUUCGGAUUGAAGUCUGCAACUCGACUUCAUGAAGUCGGAAUCGCUAGUAAUCGCGGAUCAGAACGCCGCGGUGAAUACGUUCUCGGGGUUU
rnacentral:rRNA from 1 species